GAUGAACGCUGGCGGCGUGCCUAAUACAUGCAAGUAGAACGCUGAAGGAGGAGCUUGCUCUUCUGGAUGAGUUGCGAACGGGUGAGUAACGCGUAGGUAACCUGCCUGGUAGCGGGGGAUAACUAUUGGAAACGAUAGCUAAUACCGCAUGACAACAGUUAUUGCAUGAUAACUGUUUAAAAGGGGCAACUGCUCCACUACCAGAUGGACCUGCGUUGUAUUAGCUAGUUGGUGAGGUAACGGCUCACCAAGGCGACGAUACAUAGCCGACCUGAGAGGGGGAUCGGCCACACUGGGACUGAGACACGGCCCAGACUCCUACGGGAGGCAGCAGGAGGGAAUCUUCGGCAAUAGACGGAAGUCUGACCGAGCAACGCCGCGGGAGUGAAGAAGGUUGUCGGAUCGUAAAGCUCUGUUGUAAGAGAAGAACGAGUGUGAGAGUGGAAAGUUCACACUGUGACGGUAUCUUACCAGAAAGGGACGGCUAACUACGUG
rnacentral:rRNA from 1 species